GUUUAUCUGGGGGGCUCAGCGUGCUGUGUGGCUCAAGAGGAGGUGGGCAGGCUUAGCUCCUAGCAAGGAGCGAUGGAGCCGAGUGCUGGAGGGGCUGUGGGGACACCAAGAGCCCCCAUCAACUCUUGGGGUGGGAGCUGAGGCUGAGCACCCAUCAGCCCGGUCUGCCCCUGGGCUUUGGGGUCCGUCAGGAUCAACACUGAAGAGAGCAGUGUGGGAUCCCCAGUGGUAUGGUGAUGGUCAGAGCGAGCGCCACAGGGACAGCGGUGUGGGCUCCUCCAGGCUCCCCACGCAGCACUCUCUCCGCUCCCUGUGCCACUGCCAUGUCCCGCAGCCCACCAGCAGCCGAGGACCAGACCUUCCUCCUGGAGUACCGCUGCCACCCGCUGCGGUCCGGACCCCCUGCGCCAACCUCUCCUCCAGGCAAGCGCAAUCCUGACCCCGCCAUGGGCUGCUUCCCCCUGGCUGAGCCGCGCCGCAUCGUGCUGAGCACCGACAGCCCCGCUGCGCUGAAGGUGGGCACGCAGCAGCUCAUCCCCCGGAGCCUGGCAGUCUCCACCAAGACCAAGAACACCACGCGGAACCCCAGCACUGGAUCCAUCCCUGAAGCUGCGUGCUCGGGGCAGAAGCGAGCGUCCGUCCCCAGCGUCACGGUGCAGGGGGACACAGAGGAGGAUGGAGGAGGGAUGCUCAAGCGCAACCUGAGGAACAUGUCGUACCGUGCAGCCAUGAAGGGGGCAGGCACGGAGAUGGAGCCUGUGAGCACCGUGCCCACACUGAAACCAAUGCUGGAGGAGGGGAGCGCUCCGCCUGCCCGCAGCCCCGGCAGAAGCAAGAGAACCCUCGGGCGGAAGCGGGUGCAGAAGCACGGCGGCUCAUUCAAGGACCAGCCACGGCUGUACCAGGAAAUCCGUGAGAGAGGGCUGAACUCCGUCAGCCAUGAGUCGGAUGAGGAUUUGCUGGAGGAGCCCAUCCCCGAGGAGCCGUCCCUGCCCGGUGCUGCCAUCGUGGUGCGGAGCUAUCGGCCCGCACAGGUCACCUGGAGCCAGCUCCCAGAGGUGCUGGAGGCGGGCGUGCUGGAGACCAUAACGCCUGAGGAGCGCAAGAGGCAGGAGGCAAUGUUUGAGAUCAUCACAUCGGAGUUCUCCUACAUGCACAGCCUGAGCGUGCUGGUGGGCUGCUUCAAGAAGUCGGAGGAGCUGAAGGAGACCAUGACCCAGACGGAGCACCACCACCUCUUCUCCAACAUCAGCGACAUCCUGGCUGUCAGCACCAGCUUCUUCCAAGCCCUGGAGAAGCGACACCAGGAGAACGUCCUCAUCCCCGACAUCAGUGACAUUGUGGAGGAGCACGCCUCGAAGCACUUCAACCCCUACAUCAGCUACUGCUCCAACGAAGUCUACCAGCAGAGGACACUGCAGAGGCUGCUAAACACAAACCCCUUAUUUAAAGAGGCCUUGAAACAGAUUGAAAGGAAACCAGAAUGUGGAGGGCUGCCGCUGAUAUCGUUUCUCAUUCUCCCUAUGCAGAGAGUAACGCGGCUUCCUCUGCUGUUAGAUACGGUCUGCCAAAAAACACAGGCGUGCACUGCAGCGUAUGGAGCUGCCACCAGAGCUCUGAAAGCCAUCAGCAAGCUGGUUAAGAACUGCAACGAGGGAGCUCGUGCAAUGGAGAGGACAGAGCAGCUGUGCACCCUGCAGAAGCAGCUGGAGUUUGGGAAGAAGAAGCCUUUCCCCCUGAUCUCAGCCUCCCGCUGGCUGCUGAAGCGGGGUGAGCUCUACCUGCUCUCCUCUGAGGAAGGAGGAAUCUUCCGUAAGGGCUCGGGCAGGGUCUGCCACCUCUUCCUCUUCAAUGACGUCCUGAUCAUCACCAAGAAGAAAAGUGAGGAGAGCUACACCGUCAUGAACUACGCCAUGCUGGACCAAGUCUCGGUGGAGAAGGUGGAGACCACGGAGCCCCCAUCCCCUCCUCCCGGCCGGCCGGGGGGGCACCUGCUGCGUGUGGCCAUGGAGCGGGACAGCGAGGGCCGGCGGGAGGAGGUGAUGCUGUCAGCUGAAACACUGAGUGAGCGGGCGCGCUGGGUCACCGCGCUGAUGCACCGGGAGAGAGAGCGGCCUGACAGCACUCCCCGGGGAGAUCUGAGCCAAGUGGAGAUCACCCGUGCCUACAUGGCCAAGCAGGCGGAUGAGAUUUCCCUGCAGCAGGCUGAUGUGGUGCUGCUGCUGGGCGAGGAGGAUGGUGAGUGGGGCCUGCACCUCUGGGCAUGGCCGCGGUGAGGCACGGCCUGGGUGGCUCUUCCACAGCAUCACAGGGAGUGAGCUCCGUGCCCAUAGCCCACACUAUUGGGCCUGGAAGCCGAUGGAGCCCCAGCAGCCCCGAGGCGUCCUCCUGCGGCUGCUUCCCAGGCCUGUGCUCGGCCCAUCACCAGCCGUGUGGCUGUGGAGUGCAACGUGCGGCGGAUGGAGCGGCUGCGGAUCGAGACAGAUGUGUAGCAGCCAGGCCUGGCCCGACGGGACCUCCGGAGCUCUGCAGGCUGAGCCCUGCCAGGAGGCAGCAGGAGAGCCGUUCUUCCUGGGUUUGGUGGGCAGGGACUGGUUGUGGGAGCAGUGUUGAUGGCCGUUAAUUGACAUAGGACCUGGCAUCCAGGUGCCUUUGGCCAAGCAUUAGGGCAUCCUUGCCCUGUGCAGAGCUGGCUUUCCCCCAGAACUCAGUACCAAGGAGUGGUUAAAGAUGAGGGUCAGAGCAGGGAACGGUGCUAUGGCCGCUGAGCAGCUCAGAUCUGUUUGCAGUGGGAGGAAUGCUGGAGGCAAUGGGAACGCUCAGGGCGGCGUUGCUCUGAUGUCUCUGUUUGCAUCAAACUGCCAAAGGAUGAAGGAGGCCAACAAUAAAUUCUUGGAUCCUAA